CCUACGGGAGGCAGCAGUGGGGGAUAUUGCACAAUGGGGGAAACCCUGAUGCAGCGACGCCGCGUGAGGGAAGAAGAAUUUCGGGAUGUAAAGCUCUAUCAGCAGGGAAGAAAAUGACAGUACCUGACCAAGAAUCCCCGGCGAACUACGUGCCAGCAGCCGCGGUAACACGUAGGGGGCAAGCGUUAUCCGGAUUUACUGGGUGUAAAGGGAGCGUAGACGGUUAGGUAAGUCUGGAGUGAAAGCCCGGGGCCCAACCCCGGGACUGCUUUCGUUACUGUGUAACUGGAGUACAGGAGGGGCAGGCGGAAUUCCUGGUGUAGCGGUGACAUGCGUAGAUAUCAGGAGGAACACCGGCGGCGAAGGCGGCCUGCUGGACUGAACCUGACGUUGAGGCUCGAAAGCGUGGGGAGCAAACAGGAUUAGAUACCCCUGUAGUC
rnacentral:rRNA from 1 species